GCCGAAGUGGUGGAACUGGCAGACACGCAUGACUUAGGAUCAUGUGCCGUAUGGCAUAGAGGUUCAAAUCCUCUCACCGGCA
rnacentral:tRNA from 1 species